AACGAACGCUGGCGGCAGGCUUAACACAUGCAAGUCGAGCGCCCCGCAAGGGGAGCGGCAGACGGGUGAGUAACGCGUGGGAACGUACCUUUUGGUUCGGAACAACUCCGGGAAACUGGAGCUAAUACCGGAUAAGCCCUAACGGGGAAAGAUUUAUCGCCGAAAGAUCGGCCCGCGUCUGAUUAGCUAGUUGGUGAGGUAACGGCUCACCAAGGCGACGAUCAGUAGCUGGUCUGAGAGGAUGAUCAGCCACACUGGGACUGAGACACGGCCCAGACUCCUACGGGAGGCAGCAGUGGGGAAUAUUGGACAAUGGGCGCAAGCCUGAUCCAGCCAUGCCGCGGGAGUGAUGAAGGCCUUAGGGUUGUAAAGCUCUUUUGUCCGGGAAGAUAAUGACUGUACCGGAAGAAUAAGCCCCGGCUAACUUCGU
rnacentral:rRNA from 1 species